rnacentral:lncRNA from 10 species
UAUACAUUGUUGAAUCAAACUUCCCGUCCUGUUUUCCUUGCAGGAUGUGCAAGGAAAUGUGUGUCUUUAUGGAGACAGAGGCUCAUUCACCAGCCCCGGCUAUCCAGGCAUGUAUCCAAACAACAAGCACUGCGAGUGAGCCCUGUUAGCUCCUGCUGGAAGGCUUCUCACCGUCAACUUUUACUUCAUUAGCAUUGACGAUCCAGGAGACCGUGUCCAGAACAAUCUCACACUACGAUGGGCCCAAUGUCUCCGUCCUAUGGACCAUACUGCAGAGGCGACACCAGCAUAGCUCCCUUUGUGGCUUCUUCAAAUCAGGUCUUCGUAAAAUUUCAUGCUGAUUGUGCACGGCGUCCAUCCACAUUCCUAUUAACUUGGGACAGCUAAGUGGGUAACUCAGCACGUUCACUCAGCACUUUCCUUCUACAGCAUGCUGGACAGGACUUCGUCAUCUUUAUACACGACCCCUGCCAAUGCCAUGGAGAAUAAGCUGAACUUUUAUGGUUUUCACCAAACCAUG